CGAGUGGGGGACGGGUGAGUAAUGUCUGGGAAACUGCCUGGUGGGAGGGGGUAACUACUGGAAACGGUAGCUAAUACCGCAUAACGUCGCAAGACCAAAGAGGGGGACCUUCGGGCCUCUUGCCAUCGGAUGUGCCCAGAUGGGAUUAGCUAGUAGGUGGGGUAACGGCUCACCUAGGCGACGAUCCCUAGCUGGUCUGAGAGGAUGACCAGCCACACUGGAACUGAGACACGGUCCAG
rnacentral:rRNA from 1 species